rnacentral:ncRNA from 1 species
AAGCGGGGGAGCCCGGACGACGGGCUGAGAGGAAGCGCGAAGCUUCGACCCUUGAACCUGACGCGGGUAAUGCCGCCGUAGGAAGAU